UGAAUGAUGAAGGUCUUCGGAUUGUAAAAUUCUGUGGUAAGAGAAGAAAGAUAUAAAGAGGAAAUGCUUUGUAUUUGACGGUAUCUUGCUAGAAAGCCACGGCUAACUACGUGCCAGCAGCCGCGGUAAUACGUAGGUGGCAAGCGUUAUCCGGAAUUACUGGGCGUAAAGAGUGAGCAGGCGGUUAGAUAAGUCUAUGGUUAAAUGCAACAGCUCAACUGUUGUUCGCUAUAGAAACUAUUUAACUAGAGUGCGGGAGAGGUAAGUGGAACUCCAUAUGUAGCGGUGGAAUGCUUAGAUAUAUGGAAGAACACCAGAGGCGAAGGCGGCUUACCAGUCCGUAACUGACGCUCAGUCACGAAAGCGUGGGGAGCAAAUAGGAUUAGAUAUCCUAGUAGUCCACGCCGUAAACGAUGAGAACCUGAUGCAGGAGAUAUUCUGUGUCGAAGCUAACGCGUUAAGUUCUCCGCCUGGGUACUACGUUCGCAAGAAUAAAACUUAAAGGAAUUGACGGGCGCCCGCACAAGCAGUGGAGCAUGGGGUUUAAUUCGUCGAUACACGAAAAACCUUACCAGGGCUUGACAUCCCGCUAAAAGCCUUAGAAAUAAGGAAAUAGUUAUAGCGGUGACAGGUGGUGCAUGGUUGUCGUCAGCUCGUGCCGUGAGGUGUUAGGUUAAGUCCUCAAACGAGCGCAACCCUUGUCUUUAGUUGCCAUUAUUAAUUUAGGAACUCUAGAGAGACUGCCGGCGCAAGCCGGAGGAAGGCGGGGAUGACGUCAAAUCAUCAUGCCCUUUAUGCCCUGGGCCACACCCGUGCUACAAUGGUCGGUACAAAGAGAAGCAACACUGUGAGGUGAAGCAAAUCCCAUAAAGCCGAUCUCAAUUCGGAUUGAAGUCUGCAACUCGACUUCAUGAAGCUGGAAUUGCUAGUAAUCGCAGAUCAGCAACGCUGCGGUGAAUACGUUCUCGGGCGUUGUACACACUGCCCGUCACACCAUGAGAGCCGGUAAUACUCGAAGUCGUUAGCCUAACCGUAAGGAGGGCGGCGCCUAAGGUAGGACUGGUGAUUGGGGUUAAGUCGUAACAAGGUAUCCCUACGAGAACGUGGGGAUG
rnacentral:rRNA from 1 species